GUUCUGGUUCCUCGAGCACUCUCUCGCAUAGUACUGGGCACUACCACAUAUGCGACAGGUGUUGUUGAGGCGAUAGCAGGGUCGGUCCCCGUGAUCCCUGCCGCAGUGCUAACAGAUCUUGCCACGUGCUGCCCCUGGAGCCUGAGGGGGAGCCUGGAUCGCCGAUCUGGGCCUCUUAUUUUGUUGGACAGGCGCAGUAGGUGCUGGUCUACGGGGUGGAACUGAGGGUCUGUGGCUCCCUGAUGACUGAGAAAGGGUGUUGAAACUCCUCUCCAUGAUAUGCGUUUUUGCCAAAACAGCUGAAUAUGUCUUGAGCUCUAGUACCAACAAAUGUCGCUUGAUCUCUAGGCAGAGGACCCACUGGAAUCUCCUGGCCUUUCUUCCCUCAUCCAUUAAUGUUUCAGGGGAGUAUAGGCUCAGCUCUAGGAACUUACGAGCGUAUUCCGACACUGUCAUGUUUCCCUGGACCAGCUGAACAAACUCCGUCUCCUUUAAAUGUCGGAUGUGCUCGGGGAGGUACUCAGCAUGAAAGGAUGCUAGGAACUGCUCC
rnacentral:lncRNA from 1 species